rnacentral:tRNA from 1 species
UCCCUGGUGGCUCAGAUGGUAGAGAAUCUGCCUGCAAUGCGGGGACACCCAGGUUUGAUCCCUGGCUUGGGAA